rnacentral:lncRNA from 1 species
CCUGAACCAUCAUUCAUUUGCUGAUCAUGCAGCCUGGUGCUGGUGAUUAGGGAGGAGGAAAUAAAGACAGGGUUUGACUGCAGACCUGAAAGUGAGAUUUCAAAGGCUGCAUUAGAGAAACCCCCUUCUGACUUGCAAACUUAACUCAGAGUCAGAGAAAGAUUAAAUCCAGGAGCUCUGUUUUAAUGGUGGUGUAUUUCCAGCUGCAAUGACACUUUGCAUGGGUAUUUUUACUGAGAGGAAAUGGUGAUAUUUCAAAAUGGUGAAGUCUCCCAGGAAUGGAAACAGAGAUCAACAGGAGGUGUAAGAUCCAGAACCACAGAGACGACACGUGCAGCUAAGGCCGAACACAAGGAGCCCGAGAGUGGGGUGUAAGCGGCUGUCGGUGUCAGCCCCGAUCAUUGUCAAGGGGGGGCUGGAUCCCGGCUGCCUGCGGAGCUCGGCAUCCUCCGGUGCCGCUCGGGAGCCGCAGCCGCCGUGCCCGGAGAGAUGGAUCAAGGCAGACAGACACAGAUCCGGACUGACAGAAUCAACCCCCAGAUGGAUGUCGCUUGAAUUUACCAGAAAUUAAGAUGCUGAACUGCUUAAGAAAGAGUUCCAUGAUCUAAUUAAGUCGCUUUUAUGUCUCCCUUUCUAUUUUAUCCUCCAACCCUCUUACAAAAAAAAAAAAAAAAAAAAAAAAGGUACCUUUUGUUAUUUGCAGAUUGAAUUAGAGGAAAACUGUCUGUGGACUAAAUAAAAUGUUUGCAUUCUUUUGU